rnacentral:rRNA from 2 species
GACGAACGCUGGCGGCGUGCCUAAUACAUGCAAGUCGAGCGGACUUGCUGGAGCUUGCUCCAGCAGGUUAGCGGCGGACGGGUGAGUAACACGUGGGCAACCUGCCUGUAAGACUGGGAUAACUCCGGGAAACCGGAGCUAAUACCGGAUAGUAUCUUGAACCGCAUGGUUCAAGCUGGAAAGACGGUUUCGGCUGUCACUUACAGAUGGGCCCGCGGCGCAUUAGCUAGUUGGUGAGGUAAUGGCUCACCAAGGCAACGAUGCGUAGCCGACCUGAGAGGGUGAUCGGCCACACUGGGACUGAGACACGGCCCAGACUCCUACGGGAGGCAGCAGUAGGGAAUCUUCCGCAAUGGACGAAAGUCUGACGGAGCAACGCCGCGUGAGUGAUGAAGGUUUUCGGAUCGUAAAACUCUGUUGUUAGGGAAGAACAAGUGCGAGAGUAACUGCUCGCACCUUGACGGUACCUAACCAGAAAGCCACGGCUAACUACGUGCCAGCAGCCGCGGUAAUACGUAGGUGGCAAGCGUUGUCCGGAAUUAUUGGGCGUAAAGCGCGCGCAGGCGGUUUCUUAAGUCUGAUGUGAAAGCCCCCGGCUCA